CUUUUAACGUAUGAGACACAAAACGGAAAAACAAACGGGAAUUUCAACCAUCCAAUCAUUCAAACGGUAACUUCAAUCGUCGUCGUCCAACUCCAUCCCACCUUUCCGAACACUAUUUGUGCAGAAGAUUUCCCAUUCUCUCGAUUUGUGGGCCGCCACGCUUAUGAAAUAACGCCAUCCGCCACCAACCACCAUGCCCACAUCAGCACCACCACCGUCAAAUUAUCCUACCCGUUCCGAGGACUUGAUCGGACGGCUAAAUUCCGUCCACAUACCCUGUGAGGCCAAGCUCAAAGCCCUAAGAGAGCUCAAGAACCAAAUAAUUGGAAAUCGGACCAAAAAGAUUGCCUUUUUGAAGCUUGGUGCCGUCCCCUCCCUAGUCUCGAUUCUCUCUUCCGCCGUCGCCGAGAACGGUGGAAAUUUGGAGUUCAAUGAACCUGUUAUAAUUCAGUCUGCUGCGGCAAUCGGUAGCUUUGCAUGUGGGCUAGAUGCCGGAGUUAAUGCCGUUUUGGAUGCCGGCGCAUUUCCUCUAUUGUUUGGUCUCGUAUCUCAUCCGAACGAGAAGAUUGUGGAUGCCUGUGCUCGCUCCCUUAAAUUGAUUUAUCAGUCAAAAUUGGCUCCAAAGUAUAAUUUUCUUCUAGAGAAAAAUAUGGAUUUCCUCCUUUCACUAUUGAACAGCAAAAAUGAGAAUGUUACAGGACUUGGUGCAAGUAUCAUCACCCAUUCAUGCCACACAAGUUUGGAGCAGGAGACAUUGAGUGAAGCUGGAGUUAUAAAGAAGCUUAUUAGUCUUCUUGGAGGUUCUUUAAUUCAGAGGGAUGCUAGUUUAGAAUCUCUUGGAGCUAUAAUUAAGGAAAAUCCAGUAGUAGUUUCAAAGUUUAUGGGACCAGUAAAUGGAAGAGCACUGAAUGUUGUGACUGAAUUGACAAAGGACAGGUAUCCUCAGACGAGAUUGCUAGCCUGUAUGUGUUUGAUCCUUAUAAGAAAUGCUUCUACGUGUUAUCUUCAAGAUGCAGGAAUCAAGACUAAACUGAUACUAAUAUUGCUCGAGCUUAUUGAUGAUCCUGGUCAAGUUGGAGAUGAAGCUCCCUUUGUUUUAUCUAGUUUAAUUGCAGAAAAAGAGGAUCUACAAAAAAUAGCAUUUGACUCCAAUAUUGUUGAUAAAUUAUGCAACCACUUAGAGAAAGGUUCGUUACAAGCCAAAAGCCUACAGGGGAUAUUUCUAGCAUUGGCUGACUUGUGUUCAAAGUUGGAAUGCUGCAGGGACAGAUUCCUCUCUUUAAAGGCAUUCAAUUUUUUAACAGAUGUGCUGACUCAUGAUAGUCCUGAAGUACGCACUGCAGCUUGCAUUUGCUUGAAAAACAUUUCUCGCUCUGUCAAGAAUUUGAGUGCAGGUCAUUUUAUGAAUGAAGUUGUCAUCGUACCCUUGGUUCAGCUAUUACAUGACACUUGUACUUCUGUCCAGAUCGCAGCAUUGGGUGCUAUCAGCAACAUUGUGGUUGAUUUUACUGAGCACAAGUCGACAUUCAUUCAUUGUGGAGGCGUGAAACAGCUUGUUCAGCUAUUGAAGUCAAUGGAUCCAACCAUUAGGUUUAAUGCCAUGUGGGCUUUAAAGAACCUGAUUUUCCUUGUAAACAGCAUGUGUAAAGAAGAAAUUCUCUUGGAACUAUCGCCAUCUAUAUUAAUAAGCCUUAUCUGUGACCCUGAAACUUCUGUCCAAGAGCAGGCUUUGGCUCUUGUUCGAAAUCUGGUUGAUGGUGCCAUAGACUCUGUUGAGUAUGUCUUUUCUGAGGAGGGCCUUCUGCUGAAUGCUAUUGGAAGACAACUGCAGAGCGCUUCAAAAGUUGAAGUUCUGAUUCAAGUAAGAAGUGCUUUCGUGUUCGGACUUGAAUCUCUGCUUAAAAAAGACGUACUUUAUGUGAGCAAGUGGACUGCUGUAUUUAAAAGGAAUGUACGUCCUCAACAACGUGGCUUCUGGAAAUGAAUUCCACAAGGAAGCAGUCAUGAACCUACUUUUUCCACAUGCAGGCAGUGAUACACAAACAAUUUUGAUUAAGUUUAUGCAGAGUACUGACAGCCGAUUACGAACAGCUUCUGUGUGGGCUCUUGUAAAUCUCACUUUGACAAGCAGUCCAGGUGCAAAUAGUCGGGUUAUGAAACUGCAGAGAGCUGGCAUAGUUUCUCAACUAAAGAAUAUGGCCAAUGAUCCAUGCCUGGACGUGAAGCUUCGAGCAAAAACAGCUCUUGGACAAUCAAUGAUGUUUGUGGAUCCUUCAAUGGGAAAAUUUGUUUUCACAUGUUGAUGACCGAGAUUCUGGUGCAAGAUAGUGCUUGUGAUUUUCCGCGAGGGCAUAUCAGAACAUGGGAUGCCUCCAUCAAGUUUUAGGUGAGUUCAUUACGGCUCAAUUGUCCAGAUGAGCGCUAUUUUUUAUUUUUUUUUUAUUUUUACUUGAAUGAUCACUUCCCACAAAUUCAUGCAUAUGCAAUUUUUAUUUUAUUUAUUUUAUUUUAUUUUUGUAAAUAAGGGCAUGGUGUAUGUUUUAGUAGUUGCUGCAUUUUUAAGAUUGAAGGUUACUAGAGCAAAUUUAUCGGAAUGUCAACAUGUAAUCAUCGUUCGGUGUUCUUUGAAGCCAAUAUGUUGAAUCAUAAUCUGCACGCUGUGUUGGUCAUUUCCCUUUUCUGUACUUCUGAAAGGCUAUUCAUCUUUCCUCGAGCUCUUCAUAAGUCGAAUUAGCUUCAUCAUCAUGUUCAUUUUCAGGUGUAAUCGUAUUAAUUUCUGAUCUUUUUGUUUUGGAUCCAUGUUUUCGCUCUUCGAUUAGUGGGGAGAGUGAUGUUUGUCUUUAUUUUUCUGUUUCUUUAAUGUACCAUUUUCCUUCUUUUGUU